rnacentral:rRNA from 1 species
AUUGAACGCUGGCGGCAGGCCUAACACAUGCAAGUCGAACGAGUGGCGGACGGGUGAGUAAUGUCUGGGAAACUGCCCGCUGGAGGGGGAUAACUACUGGAAACGGUAGCUAAUCCCGCAUACCAUCGGAUGUGCCCAGAUGGGCUUAGCUAGUUGGUGGGGUAACGGCUCACCUAGGCGACGAUCCCUAGCUGGUCUGAGAGGAUGACCGGCCAAACGGGAACUGAGAGACGGUCCAGACUCCUACGUGAGGCAGCAGUGGGGAAUAUGGCACAAUGGGCGAAAGCAUGAUGCAGCCAUGCCGCGUGUAUGAAGAAGGCCUUCGGGUUGUAAAGUACUUUCAGCGAGGAGGCGUUACUCGCAGAAGAAGCACCGGCUAACUCCGUGCCAGCAGCCGCGGUAAUUC